rnacentral:misc_RNA from 1 species
AUUUAUUCAUUUAUUAUACAUAUCUGAUAACUUUAAAACAGGGAACUUUAAAUGAGAUAGCACCAAAAAGAUUCAAAUUCUGAGGAUAUGACUCGAAUCUCAGAAUCACUCAACCCUUCAUGUAAUGCUCAUAGACCAAUUGCGCUGCAAGCAUAUCGACAAUUGCAGAACCAACAGACUUAAACACAGUAAUCUCUCGAGAAUCCCUCCUUCCAGCUUCAUCCCCUUUGAUCAAUUCCACCAAAUA